rnacentral:lncRNA from 1 species
CAUGAAUUCCUUUGCCCUGUUGGCUUCUGGUUGGGCUCGGUCAUUGAGAAGAGCCAGAGGAGGUGUGAGGGCAGGAGGAGGCUGUAAUUGGGGUAUUUGCUACCCCGCCUGCAUUCUUGCAGGGUUUCCCUUGACGUCUCCAUUGCUGUCUCCUUGAUGUCUCCAUUUGGGGCAUCUGGCACCCAGCCUACCUCCUUGCAGAGUCUCGUCUGGGUGGCUUGCUCCUCUGAUUGGAGGUCUCAGCGGGGUACGCCCACCUCCUCUACAAGGCUCUCUCUGGUCUCUGGAUUCUGUCGUGUGACUCUUACCAGCAUGAUUUGUAGCAACGUCUUGUCUCCUGUCUUUGUGAAGACAGAAUGAGAAGCCACAGAACACUAUUACAGCAUUUUGGAAGAGCUCAAUAACAGUUUAAACGAUUAAAGAACUUAUCAGUGGACUUCAUUAGAAAUAAAAUCUCAGGGAUAAUUACCGAAAAUAAGAAAAAAUAGUGCGUAACUUCUUAAAAAAGAAGAAGAAAAAUUGAAGGAAGAGAGAAAAAUUUCAUCCAAAGAAAAACAAAACAGAGAAGAAAUAAAUUAAGCUUUAAAAGCCUGGGUAAAUAGAA